GUAACCUAUGCCUUUCUCCAUCAGUUAGCUCUUACGUAACAAACCAAUCCAAAAUUUAGCAGCACAAGCAAUAAAGAUAUAUUAUUGUUUUUAGACAAACCAUAACCAGCCUAUAGUUUGUCUACGAAGUGCUGAAGAUCUGAGCCAGGCUUAGCUAAUCUUGGGUGAGCUCACUCAAGUUUCUGCCUUAUUGGUUGGGACGACGGGAUAACUAGGUCUCUCAGUAUAGAUCAGGCUUGUUCAUAUAGUAGCAGGAGAGUUCAAGAAAGUGGAAGUAUGCAAGGUCUCUUGAGGCCUAGGCUCAGAACUGGCACCAUCAACCAUUACUUCUCUGCAUUUUAUAGGCCAAAGUAUGUUACAGGACCAAUUUUGAUUAUAGUAAUGAAGAAAUAAACUCCAAGUCUUAAUGUGUGGAAUAUCCAAUUCAUAUUCCAAAGGACAAGGAUAUUUUAAAAAGAUAAAUUGAUUCUCUUUUAAAAAGUAAAUCAUGAGAUAAAUAAUGGAGAGGACCUAAGCCCAUUUCCAAGCUCUGAAGAGUGAAAGAAAUCUUUUAUAGAUAAACUGAUUUUUUUAAGUAAAUCAUGAAAUAAAUAAUGGAGAGAGAAGACCAUUUUCAAGCACUGAGGAGUGAAAGAACUGCCUGCAGUUUGCCCUGACACAAUGAACUAGAACAUAGAGGUUCAGAAUAUAAGAGAUACUCUUGGAAAAAGGCAAGUAUGAAAACUACUAUUUAUUUUCAAAGGUCAGAUUGGGGUUAC